UCUCUCAAGUUUCAAUGAAUAAGAAAUAAAUAUAGGGAUAAGUGAUUGUUUUUGUGGGACAUACCUAUCUUGGGAGUGCUCAGAAGGAAUUAUAGGGCUAGCUCAAGUUUUAGAAUGAGAGUGUCUUUUCUGAGACAGGUUUGAAUCAAGUUAAUAAAGCAAUCCCCAACCCUUACAAAAGAAAUCAAUGCUGAGUGGAUUUUGCAGCUUAGUUUUUUGGUUAUUAGCUGUAUAACUGUGGUUAUGUUGACCCUACCCAAAAUUGGCUUGUCAUUGCUUUCCUAUAUGCCUCUUAGAGAUGAUAACUCCCUCUUGUGAACAUUCAUGUUCAUUGUUUGGAAAUACAAUCCCGUAAUGCUCCCUCUGACUAAUAUCAUGUGCGAUAUUCAUCCUCAAGAGAGUAAAUUGACGAGUAAUAUUUUUUAGUAUAGUCAGAAUCAUAUGAUUUUCCUUCCUCUCAGCUCUUUUGUUGCUUUAAUUAAACAUCUAUUAUUUGAUUCAAUGUCAAAGUUUUGGUCUUAUUGCCUCUAUAUUUCCCUUCUUGGGACAAACUAGGACCAAAUAAAUGGGGUCAUAAUAGAUUAUAUUUGUUCAGUUGUCACAUGCUAGUAAGUCUUAUUAACUUCCACAAAUUAAGGGAAAACAUGGAGUUAACAUUGGGUUUACUUUAGGUUUUAAUGAAAUUUAUUGAAUUGUUUAAAUUUCACUUCUGAUAGGAGGAAGAAAACAUUUUUGAGGGAGGUGUGGGGAACCAAUCCUCCAAAGAGCUUGCUUUCUUUGUUCAGAAGAAAGACAGUUCUGACUCUCCAAAAUGUAAGGGUUCAUCUCCUUCAAUAUCCAAGAAGAAAAACCGCAAGGGUGGGCUUUCCAUGUUUUUG
rnacentral:misc_RNA from 1 species